GUCUUCGUGUCGCUCAUCUACCAUGUCCAAAGUACGUGGUAAUAGUCUUCUUUGUCGGAAGAUUGUGGCGGACGAGGUUUGGAUUCCCUGUGCUCCGCCUAUUUGGUCUGAUCGAUGGGCGUCUUGCCCUUGACCUUAGCGGCAGGGGGGCUGGAGCCCUUCCCUUGCCGUUUUGACUUGAAGGCUUGUGGGCCUGAGGUCUCCAUCAAGCGGUGUGGGGUAGAGUUCAUAACAGAACCCUCUCCACUGAGGCCAUUACUGUGGCGUUUAGC